rnacentral:rRNA from 1 species
GAACCUUCGGGGAACGAUAACGGCGUCGAGCGGCGGACGGGUGAGUAAUGCCUAGGAAAUUGCCCUGAUGUGGGGGAUAACCAUUGGAAACGAUGGCUAAUACCGCAUAAUGCCUACGGGCCAAAGAGGGGGACCUUCGGGCCUCUCGCGUCAGGAUAUGCCUAGGUGGGAUUAGCUAGUUGGUGAGGUAAGGGCUCACCAAGGCGACGAUCCCUAGCUGGUCUGAGAGGAUGAUCAGCCACACUGGAACUGAGACACGGUCCAGACUCCUACGGGAGGCAGCAGUGGGGAAUAUUGCACAAUGGGCGCAAGCCUGAUGCAGCCAUGCCGCGUGUGUGAAGAAGGCCUUCGGGUUGUAAAGCACUUUCAGUCGUGAGGAAGGUAGUGUAGUUAAUAGCUGCAUUAUUUGACGUUAGCGACAGAAGAAGCACCGGCUAACUCCGUGCCAGCAGCCGCGGUAAUACGGAGGGUGCGAGCGUUAAUCGGAAUUACUGGGCGUAAAGCGCAUGCAGGUGGUUUGUUAAGUCAGAUGUGAAAGCCCGGGGCUCAACCUCGGAAUUGCAUUUGAAACUGGCAGACUAGAGUACUGUAGAGGGG